GCUUAAAGGGGCCGUAGCUUGAUAAUAGGGUCCCUUGAGAAAUCCGCCGGCUUAACUGGCGGGCGUUCAGGGGAGACUUGUUUUCUAGGGACCGGGAGAGGUGAGGGGUACAGCCGGGGUAGGAGUGAAAUCCUGUAAUCCCGGUGGGACCACCUAUGGCGAAGGCAUCUCACCAGAACGGGUCCGACAGUGAGGGACGAAAGCUGGGGGAGCAAACCGGAUUAGAUACCCGGGUAGUCCCAGCUGUAAACUAUGUGCGUUAGGUGUGUCAGUGACCACGUGUCACUGAGGUGCCGAAGGGAAACCGUGAAACGCACCGCCUGGGGAGUACGGUCGCAAGGCUGAAACUUAAAGGAAUUGGCGGGGGAGCACCACAACGGGUGGAGCCUGCGGUAUAAUCGGACUCAACGCCGGGAAUCUCACCGGAUAAGACAGCUGAAUGAUAGUCGGGAUGAAGACUCUACUUGACUAGCUGAGAGGAGGUGCAUGGCCGUCGUCAGUUCGUACUGUGAAGCAUCCUGUUUAGUCAGGCAACGAGCGAGACCCACGCGAGCAGUUGCCAGCUUGACCUUCGGGUUGAUGGGGACACUGCUCGGACCGCCUCUGCUAAAGGGGAGGAAGGACUGGGCAACGGUAGGUCAGCAUGCCCCGAAUUAUCCGGGCUACACGCGGGCUACAAUGGACAGGACAAUGAGUUUCGACACCGAGAGGUGAGGAUAAUCUUCUAACCCUGUCCCAAGUUCGGAUUGCGGGUUGUAACUCACCCGCAUGAAGCUGGAAUCCGUAGUAAUCGCGUUUCAACAUACCGCGGUGAAUAUGUCCCUGCUCCUUGCACACACCGCCCGUAA
rnacentral:rRNA from 1 species